rnacentral:rRNA from 1 species
AACGCGAAGAACCUUACCCAGGCUUGACAUGUAGUUGAAUAACUGUGAAAGCUGUUAGGCCCGCAAGGGACAAUUACACAGGUGCUGCAUGGCUGUCGUCAGCUCGUGCUGUGAAGUGUUGGGUUAAGUCCCGCAACGAGCGCAACCUUUAUCUUUAGUUGCCAUCAGGUAAUGCUGGGCACUCUAGAGAGACUGCCGGUGAUAAACUGGAGGAAGGAGGAGAUGACGUCAAGUCAGUAUGGCCCUUAUGCCUGGGGCUACACACGUGCUACAAUGGCCAUCACAAAGGGCAGCUAAUUCGCAAGGAAGAGCUAAUCCCAAAAAAAUGGCCUCAGUUCAGAUUGGGGGCUGCAACUCGCCCCCAUGAAGCAGGAAUCGCUAGUAACGGUAGAUCAGCUACGCUACCGGAAUACGUUCCCGGGUCUUGACCACCA